rnacentral:rRNA from 1 species
CUACGGGGCGCUCCAGUGAGGAAUAUUGCACAAUGGGGGGAACCCUGAUGCAGCAACGCCGCGUGGAGGAUGACGCAUUUCGGUGUGUAAACUCCUUUUAUAUGUCAAGAAAAUGACGGUAGCAUAUGAAUAAGCACCGGCUAACUCCGUGCCAGCAGCCGCGGUAAUACGGAGGGUGCAAGCGUUACUCGGAAUCACUGGGCGUAAAGGACGCGUAGGCGGGUUGGAAAGUCAGGUGUGAAAUCCUACAGCUUAACUGUAGAACUGCACUUGAAACUUCUAAUCUAGAGCAUGGGAGGGGGAGAUGGAAUUAGUGGUGUAGGGGUAAAAUCCGUAGAUAUCACUAGGAAUACCUAAAGCGAAGGCGAUCUCCCGGAACAUUACUGACGCUAAGGCGUGAAAGCGUGGGGAGCAAACAGGAUUAGAUACCCGGGUUAGUC